GCCAGGUAUUGUGGUGGAUGCCUGUAAUCCCAGCUACUCGGGAGGCUGAGGCAGGAGAAUCACUUGAACCCGGGAGGCAGAGGUUGCAGUGAGCCGAGAUUGCGCCACUACACUCCAGCCUGGGUGACAGAGUGAGACUCUGUCUCAA
ensembl:misc_RNA Metazoa_SRP Metazoan signal recognition particle RNA